CACUACAAUAAAAUUUGCCUAUUACCACGUUUUUUACUAAAGUGAAAUUUGCCUAUUCUCUCUAUCGUUUUUUCUCUCUGUCCUAGAUUUAGGGUUUUCUCUCUGUCUCCUCUUGCUCCUUGAGAGAUUCACCAAGAGGAAGAUGGUUCGGUUAAGUUACACAAAUCGGCGGGGUUACGAGACCGAGGAGUGAAGAAGGAUCAAGAUCAUCGGGAUCGAGACAGGGACUGGGACCAAGACCGAGACCGAUUGAGUCGGAGCAAGAGAAAACCACCUAAUGAAUGAUAGGCUUUUCUAUUCCAAGAAAAGCCCGAACGCGAUGGCGUUGGAUGCGCUCUACCUGUUGAAGCUCCUCAGGAACAUGAGUUGAUUAUGGGUUUCAAAAACAGGACUUGAUUGGUGACCUUGGCUUAUCAAAGGUAAAACAACACACUUCAGUGUCCGGGGGUGUUCGUGGAACCUUACCUUGGAUGGCACCUGAACUUUUUAGUGGAAAGAGUAAAAUGGUUACGGAAAAGAUUGAUUUUUACUCAUUUGGGAUUGUCACGUGGGAAUUGCUCACGGGACACGAAUCUUAUGCAGAUAUGUAUUGUGCUUCUAUAAUAGGUAUGCGCUGAUAUAUCUAUCUAGUUUUGUAACAAAAAGUAUAAGAAUUAUACUCUGCUUUAGCACAACUAAUGACAUGGAAGACUGCAGUGGCCAAUAUACCAUACAGUGGCGCUAAAGGAGAGAUAGGAUGCAAUCCAGGGGAAUUAAGCAUGUCUGAGCUAGAAUGACUCACCAAAGUUUUCACCCAGAAGAUACACAAUCUUAUUGGAGUGCACAUUGAUGUUCCAGCACCUGAUAUGGGAACAAAUCCACAAGUUUACAAAAGAUCCACAAUAUCACAGAAUUUUAAUGGUUGUUUAAGUUAAUAUCUAAUGUCAUUGAGUAGUUUCCAUGUACAUGCUUUCUAAUGUUUGCUAGAAUUUUAAACUGAUUUUUGAUUGUUGUGUGUUUAAACAGAUGAUUCAUUUGAUAAUGAUGCGGUGCUGAUUCGUUUGAAACCAGAAAGAUCCGAAGAGAAGAUGCCACACAGGAAGUUUGAGCAUCCCCUGCAUAGGUCCCUUGGAUUUCUCCCACGGAAGCGUGCUGCUCGUCACAGGGGAAAAGCAGGCAGUGAGAGAGAGCUUGCGAGCUUCCAAGAAAGAGUUCAAUAAGAUAGAAGACGAUUUGAAGUUGCUUCAGAGCAUUGGGCAGAUAAUCGGAGAAAUUCUCAGGCCUCUUGACAAUGAGCGAUGUAAUUACUCAUUUCUUUUGUUCUUUAUUUCCAUUUUUUUGGGGGGAGGGGGGGUUCUGGAAAUUGUUUGUGAAAUCAUUUUAGCUCAGUUUAGAAUCCGAAGUCUUGAUACAUGUCAUGCAAAAAAAAUACGAGCUCUAGUCUAUUAUGGGCUGCUUGUAAAUGGAAUAAUUCAUAUUGUGCUCUUAGUUAUUAAACUGGUCGAUUAAUUUAUUGUAAUGAACUUAAACUUACUUUUUCUUAGUAAACUUUUCUAUGAUGGUUUGAACUUAAA